rnacentral:lncRNA from 1 species
ACGCUAACAGACCGCCGAACGGACAGGGUUUCCCCUGUACCACGGACAGAGUCUCCCCUGUACGUUCAAGGCGUCGCAAUCAAUACAAUAUACGAAGUUCCAACCAGGAACACAUCCAACAAAGAUUGCAUAAGAAAGUAUCAAAAACAUAAAUCUACUUACUAUUACAAGCAUUCACAUUCAUACAUUUUUACAUCACAAUUCUCAUUUGAUUCUUACAUUAGCUUUCACUUAACUUCCAAAUACAAUCCGAUUUU